CGGUAAUACAGAGGUGGCAAGCGUUGUUCGGAAUUACUGGGCGUAAAGGGCGCGUAGGCGGCCCGCCAAGUCCCGUGUGAAAGCCCUCGGCUCAACCGAGGAACGGCGCGGGAAACUAGCAGGCUUGAGUUCGGGAGAGGGAAGCGGAAUUCCGGGUGUAGCGGUGAAAUGCGCAGAUAUCCGGAGGAACACCGGUGGCGAAGGCGGCUUCCUGGACCGACACUGACGCUGAGGCGCGAAAGCUAGGGGAGCAAACGGGAUUAGAUACCCCGGUAGUCCUAGCCCUAAACGAUGAGAACUGGGUGUAGAGGGUAUGAACCCCUUCUGUGCCGAAGCUAACGCAUUAAGUUCUCCGCCUGGGGAGUACGGUCGCAAGGCUGAA
rnacentral:rRNA from 1 species